GGAGCAGCUUCUGCCCCCCAGCACCUUGUGCCUGCAGAGGGGCAGUGGGGUGGACCCCAAAUCAAGGCAUGGGUUUUGGGGAGGACAAAGCUGGCUGCAGGACACAAAGGUGCUAACUGGGACCAGGCACCCCAGAGGUGUCUGGGGCUGGGCAGGGUUGGGGUGUGGGCUCUCUAAACCCAGGCUCCUGCCCGCAGCAAGUCCCUGCUCUUGGGCACAUCCUGCAUUCCCUCUGCCCCAGGGAUUCCCCAUCCCUGCUCAGGGACAUCCCCAUGCCCCUCACCCCCAGGGGCUCCCCAUGAAGGGGAACCCCCACCAGGCUGCCCUCAGCACUGGAGCAAAACAGCCCCCAGUUCUCCAGGAUCCAAUGUGCUGCUCCAACGCUCUCCAGGAGACUGCUGCUUAAUUGCACUAAUGAAAUGACUCUAAUUAAAGCAAUCGCCCCCCAGCUGGGGGACGGGUGCUGCAGGCUCAGUGGGGCUCCCCAGCUGCAGCCUUGCCCCAGUGCCAGGCGGGAUCAGGGUCUGGGGAUGCGGCACAGGAGCCAACCCCGGGGGACACAGCGUGACCCAGUUUUUACCAGCAAGAGCUCGGUCCUGGGGCUGGUGCUGGGACAGCUCCAGCUCAAGGGGCUGCAGCACAGACCUCAGGCACUGUCUGACCUGGGGCUGUGGCACCCACCAGGGAUGGGGACAGGGAUGGCUCUGGGGUGGCAGCGGUGCAGCUCCGGCUGCUCCUCCCAUGCCGGCCAGGACAUGGCACAGAGCAUCCCCUGUGCCAGGGUUGUCCCCAGGGUGGGGGACCCCAGCGUCUGCUCCCGGGUGGCAUCAGGGGACACAGGCCAGCACAGGGAGGUGGUGCUGGGCACUGCUGUCCCUGCGCAGCCCUGGGUCCCGGCCAUGUGUGACAGGGCAGGCUGUGGUGUGGGAUGUCCUGGUACAAUGGGCUCUGUGUCACUGCCUGCCUCUGCCACAGGGACCCGCUGGCCCUCACUCCCCAGGUGGAGGCAAGCGUGGACAGGAGCUCAUGGCAACAAUUCAGGGCUGACCCACACAGGGCCCUUAUGGGGACAUCAAGAGGAGGAAUGCUGCCAAGCUGCCCCAGCACUUCCCAUCCCCAAACACCUGAUGUGUACUGAGCCGUGUCCCUGGAUGCCCUGGAUAGGGCUGGGGGGCUCAGCUUGGGCUGGCCCCCAAACCCCCACCUGCCCUGGGGUCUGGUCUGCAGCACCCAUGGGUGCACACAGAGCCAGCUUUGCUUUCACCCUGCAAAUGGCAGCAGGGACCAUGUCAGAGCCCCUCCAGAGCCAGGCUCAGGGUGUGUUGGGAACCCUCCCUGCAUCCCCAGCAUCUCCCGAGCAGCCGCCGCCUGCACCCAGCUUUGAUCUGCACCACAUCGAGCUCCUGGGAAACACGGCCCCAAAUCACCACGGGAAUGAACGUGCCGGCAAUGGGGCGAUGCCGGCGCAUCCAUCCCGGCUGGCCCCCACAAUGGAGGCGGGUGUGGCGAGAGCCAUCGCCUGCAUCCCGGCGGGAGCAUCGUGGUACAGCAGCCCCCUGGUUUGUGCAGCAGCAGGGUCCAUCCGGCGCAGACCUCAGCACCAGGGGUGCCGGGAGCCCGGCCGAGGGAGCAGGAUGCUGGUCCCAGCCUCAGCACCAGCCUCCCCCCAGCGCCUGCGGUUUCCUGCGUCUUCGGGGUUGGGUUUUAAUUACCUGAAUUGCAACGCCACGGGGGAGAAGGGAGGCUGGGAACCUGCCUGGGGACGUGCUCCACCACCCGCCGGCUGGGGCCUCCCGGGAUGGGGGACACGGGGGGUCCCCCAUGCUGAGAAGAACCCAAC
rnacentral:lncRNA from 14 species